rfam:Triticum aestivum genome assembly, contig: Triticum_aestivum_CS42_TGACv1_scaffold_249021_3DL
CAUGUACUCCCUCCGUUCGGAAUUACUCGUCCAAGAAAUAAAUGUAUCUAGAUGUAUUUUAGUUGUAGGUACAUUUAUUUUUAUGACAAGUAAUUCCGAACGGAGGAAGUAUAUA